GUGCAGCCUUAACCCUGUAAGCCGGAAACGAGGCUACAUUUACAUCAAGUCAGCGGCCAUAUUGGAAGAAAACAAAAGAAAAAUAGGGUGUAGCACUGAUACUAAAUGUCCGAAAUAGAUAAAGCCAUAUCAAAACUGGGAUAGGAACCAGUGUGGCAGUUGACAUUACAUAACAUAGCUGGUUGGGAGCUGUUAGUAACGUUCACAAGAAAGUUGGUCACCAGACAGUGAGCGCACAUUGAGUUCUGUGAUUUACGAAAGCAUCUGCAGAGACUGGCGUGAGUGCCUUGUGUUGUGUAGUCGUAGCCUCCGUGUCCCUUGCCCGCACGCUAUCUACCCAGCAUGCCUUUUACUCAGAAGUCUGAGCAGGUGAUCAAGAAGAAGAAUGAGCGAGAUGCACUUGACCGCCACUAUCGCAUGAACAGACAGAAAGUAUCUGUCACGUUGAAAGACAUGAUAAACUUCUGUCGGCAGCACCAGAUGGAAGACCCGCUCAUCUUCCCAGUGCGAGAAAACCCUUUUAAGGAGAAGAAGACUUGCCAGAUAUUGUAGACCCUUGCAGCCGCUUCGGGUGGACUUAUGUUGUCGUGUCUUCCCCCAUCCAGUCACUGUUAUUUUGUAGACUUCAAGUGCUUUCCAUUGUUGUGUUUCUAUUUUCAGUUCAGUUUAUUUCUUACAAGCAUGAGAAUUCCUAUGUUCAACAUUUAGUUACGAAUUAUUAGUUGCCUGAUUUUUAUGUCCCCCACUAUAGUAGUGGGGGACAUAUUGUUUUUGCCCUGUCUGUUGGGUCUGUUGGUUGGUUGGUUGGUUUGUUGGUUGGUUUGCGCCAACUUUAACAUUUGCAAUAACUUUUGCAAUAUUGAAGAUAGCAACUUGAUAUUUGGCAUGCAUAUGUAUCUCAUGGAGCUGCACAUUUUGAGUGGUGAAAGUUCAAGGUCAUCCUUCAAGGUCAAAGGUCAAAUAUAUGGGUCAAAAUCGCUCAUUUAAUGUACACUUUUGCAGUAUUUCAAUAUUCAAGAUAGCAACUUGAUAUUUGGCAUGCAUGUGUAUCUCAUGGAGCUGCACAUUUUGAGUGGUGAAAGGUCAAGGUCAUCCUUCAAGGUCAGAGGUCAAAAUUAUGUGGACAAAAUCGCUCAUUUUAUGAGUACUUUUGCAAUAUUGAAUACAGCAACUUGAUAUUUGGCAUGCAUGUGUAUCUCAUGGAGCUGCACAUUUUGAGUGGUGAAAGGUCAAGGUCAUCCUUCAAGGUCAAAUAUAUGGGUCAAAAUUGCUCAUGUAAUGUCACUAAUGCAAUAUUGAAGCUAGCAAUUUUAUAUUUGAAAUGCAUGUGUAUCUCAUGGAGCUGCAGAUUUUGAGUGGUGAAGGGUCAAGGUCAAGGUCAUCCUUCAAGGUCAAACGUCAUAUAGGGGGACAUUGUGUUUCACAAACACAUCUUGUUAAAUUUUGUUUGUUGUUCCUGUAUUGAAGUAACCACACAUAUUACACAUAUAACCACUGGUGUAAUAGUACAACUGAUAUCUGACCAAAACAAUUGAGCUAUUGUGUUUAAGUUUUGGACCAAAGAAAUCUUAAAAUUGACGUAUUAUUUAAAUCUCUUGACAAUAUUAACCACAUGGCUGUGCAACUUUUCCAUGACAAACCAUAUUUUUGCCGUAUCAUUACAGGGUGGCUGGCUUUGAAAAUAUGAUUAAAGCAUAACUCAAUCAAAGUUUAUAUGAUGAAAUGUUAAAUGUGUUUGAUUUUUGUGAACAGUGUUUAACUCAACUGAAGUACUAAAGAAUGUGUUUGUGAAAAUUUAAACUAUGAUUUGAAAAAAUAAUCAGGCAUCUUUAUGUCACAAAAUCAUUUGUAAAGAAAAAUUCUUGUUAACAUCCAAUUAUGAGGGGGUUUUGCCGUUAGUGACCAGUUCAUGUAAAGAUUGUAAUCAAUAUUGUUAAUAAUACGAAAUCUAUAGUCCUUCAAAUGCACUGAGACAUUUUGUAAAUUUUGCUUUGUUGAAAACAGCUCUUCAAAUCUUAAAUUAAACAGGUUCUUUCUAUUUGCUUUUCAUUUUACUGAUUGUAUAAUUUGAAACAAAUAGUAAAAUAAUUUUAAAACCUUUUUUACUAUUCAUGGUGCUUCAUGUUCAGGCGGCCAUUGGAUUCAUAGAGCAUCAAGUUUAUCCAUUCCUGUAUCACUUCCAUAAUGAUGUUGGUGCUGUUAAGGGUAUAUUUGACAAUAAAUUUUGUAUUAUUCUUCAAUCUUGAGGAUUAAAAUAUUUAUUUGUUUCUUUAAA